rnacentral:tRNA from 1 species
GCCGCGAUAGCUCAAUUGGUAGAGCAUCGCACAUGAAAUGCGAAGGUUGUGGGUUCGGUUCCCACCUGCGGCA